rnacentral:hammerhead_ribozyme from 1 species
GCACUGCUGAGGAGUCCCACAAUAGGACGAAACGGCCGUCCAGUAA